CUGGCGCGGCUUUUGCUCCAGCCCCAGCUGGGUUAGGGCCUCGCCGCCCUGCUUCCACCCCGUCAGGGAGGCCCGGGUGACUCUGCCACAGCCUCGGCCUCCGUCGCUCUGUGAGCUGCGGGCAUCGCAUGAUUCGCAGCUGAGACUCCGCGACACCCUGAAGCCCAGAAAUGAGAAAUGAUUUACUUAGAGAAAAAGGAGAUGAAAAGCUUCCAUGAAGAGUGCGGAAGGGGACCCCAGAGGUCUUUCCUCCAGAGAGGAAAGACAGCUUCCACAAACGGAGUGUGAAAGGGGACCCAAGUAUGGAAUCCAGGAGAGGAAAAGCAGCUUCCACAAGUGUGUAAGGGGACUCCAGAGAGGGCUCUGGUCCGGACUGUGUGCUCUAGACUGGUGAGCUGAAGUUCCCAGAGAUAGUUUUAUAGACAAACGAUUUGGAAGGCAACUGUAAGGUACUAGGCAAAACUGAGAAACAGACACAAAGAAAACUAAUAUAGAGUGAAAUAAUUGAGAAAUUUGUAUUAGAAAGGCAAUUAAAUCAUAGUAUACUGCUUGCAUUUGUAGUAAAUAUUUGAUUAAUCCCAUUAUAGCAUUUGCUGACUACAGGUUAAGGUAAAAAUUAUGCUAUAUUCUGAACUGCUGGAGGGGUGGAGAAUGGUGACCAAAUUGCAGAUGAUGGGCUCAGGUUGCUCCCUGAUGGGCUGUGUUCUUCCAGGCCCUUGGUCCCUCACUCACCCAAGAAUGGGGGAGAGGACCUUGCCAGAUUUAGUAGGCUCUUAAGUAAAUAUUGAAUCCCAAAGAAUUUUGCAGAAAGUGAUUUAUUUAGGCAGAGAGAGAGAGAAAAAGGAGAAAGAAAAGCAGCGUCCAUGUCUUCCCCCGUGCGUGAAAGUUAAAGACCUCUAAGCUCCCUGAUGGGAGAAGUGGGCAGAGGCCUGAUACUGGGAAUUUCUUGCCUUUGAAACCAUGCCCCCUUGUGAACCUGAAGAGAAUACAUUCUCUCAGAAGGACAGCUGAAGGAAAGGGUGUUCCCCAUGUCAGUAUCAAAGGGCAAUUUCUAGAGUUUAUAUAGUUCAGGAAGUAUUUCUCCUUUAUGUAUCAUAUUUUGUACAUUUGCAUGCAUAUACACAUAACAAAAAUGUAUCAAUUGGUUGAAUUUUCUUAUAUUUUUACUAAGAAUGGGCAAAGACAAUUAUUUUGUUUGAAGACGGUACUUACUGUAAUAAAGAGUGUUUCCUCUGGAGUCAAAGUUGCCUGUGUUUUAAAACUGGCUCCAUUAUUGUGACCAAGUAAUUUUUCUCUGUGGCUCUGUUUCUUUCUCUGUAAAAUAAGGACAAUAAUAAUAAUAUUAAUAAAAUGUGUAAAAAGCUGAAUUUCAUUAAUACAUGCUUUAAUACAGAAAUAUCUUUUCAGUAAAUAAAA